UAUUUACGGUCAAGACUUAGAUAAUCUGGAUGAGUACACAGAAGCACUAUAUGAAGAACUGAGAAACAAGAAUGCUCCACUUAUUGCUGAAAACGAAGAGCUGAGUCACGAAAACAAGCUACUGGAGGAAGAACUGGCGG